UACAUUCUUCGAAUCACUGUGUGACGUGUCCGGUCUGCGACUUCUGCGAUUAACGCAAACGCAAUUGAGGGAGAGGUUAGAAAGCUGUGUCGAGGCAUGGUCAAAAAUAAUGUCCCUUGUGCACGGUCUUUUAACGAAAGGCGACGAAAAUAAGGAUGGUGGUUGCUCGCGCAAGAGAGAGAGACGGGACGGACGGAUAAAUCACGGUCGAGACGUAGUCGCAGACAAAAAUCGUAAAAGAACCGGGGAGGAGCACCCUCGAUGCUCGAUUUUUCUUUCGUUCGUAGAAUUUGAUUUUCAUGGGGAUUCUGUGAAUGCUCUUUCGAGCGGAUAUUGAAGGAAAGAUGACCGAUAGAAAUAAAGGAGAAUAAAUAGAGGAAGUUAAGAAGAAAAAUUGAGGGUAAAAUAAUAAAGAUGAAUAAGGGAGCUUUUCUUUAUGGAUAAGUAAGAUGGUGUGUAGAUAAGAAAGAAAAUAAUAUAAAGAAGUUUCCAUUUAUGAAUAAGUAUUGUAUUGAUCAAGAAGAAAUAUAUAGAGGAAAGAGGAAGUUAAAAAAGUUGAAAGUAAAAGUAAUUCUUUUUGGUUUGUGAUGAGAGAAAAGAAGAAUUGAGAUUACUUGAUUUGUGAUGUAAAAGA